UGGGGAAUUGUUCGCAAUGGGCGCAAGCCUGACGACGCAACGCCGCGUGGAGGAUGAAGGUCUUCGGAUUGUAAACUCCUGUUGAUCGGGACGAAAAGCUUCAACCUAAUACGUUGAAGACUGACGGUACCGGUUGAGGAAGCCACGGCUAACUCUGUGCCAGCAGCCGCGGUAAUACAGAGGUGGCAAGCGUUGUUCGGAAUUACUGGGCGUAAAGGGCGCGUAGGCGGCCUCCUAAGUCGGACGUGAAAGCCCCAGGCUUAACCUGGGAACUGCGUCCGAUACUGGGAGGCUUGGAUUCGGGAGAGGGAUGUGGAAUUCCAGGUGUAGCGGUGAAAUGCGUAGAUAUCUGGAGGAACACCGGUGGCGAAGGCGGCAUCCUGGACCGAGAUCGACGCUGAGGCGCGAAAGCUAGGGGAGCAAACGGGAUUAGAUACCCCGGUAGUCCCUGAGCGGGCUGGCAAGGCGCAU
rnacentral:rRNA from 1 species